rnacentral:lncRNA from 1 species
GAUGACGAUGAGUCGGGUGACCCAGAGCAAUUCGUAGUUUCGAGAAGAAAGAAGCUAGUUUCUAAGAGGGGACAAGGCGCCAAGAUGUGAACCGGAGCCAUUUGGAGUUUACUUUUGUUGUGAACAAUUUUACUUUUGUUGUGAACCAUUUGGAGUUGUGAAUCAUUUACUUGGUGUUGUGAACCAUUAGGAGUUGUGAACUUGUGUUGUUGGUGUUGAUGUUGCACUUGUUGGUGUUAGAUUCAAAUAUAAAUGUGAACUUCUGU